GCAGGUGUAGCUCAGUUGGUUAGAGCGCCGGUCUGUGGAACCGGAGGUCGGUGGUUCAAGUCCACCCACCUGUACCA
rnacentral:tRNA from 1 species